CUCCAGACUUUUGCAAGCACCUCCCAAGACCACGGACCAAGAAGCAUUUCAGCCGGCACCUGCUGUGGCCCACCCCUCUGCUCCUUAACAGGGCCCCCAGAUCCUGAGCCUGCCCGAAGUCAGAUGGAUGGUGGUUUCACAUCAAAAGUGAGACCUGGUGUCUGAGUCCAGGGCAGCCGGGUCUUUGGCAGGUUUGCACACCCCUCCGGGCAUGGGGGGUGGCGACCGCCCAGUGGGGGAUGUGGGGGCUGAUGUGCGGCCCACAUGUGACCUGUGUGUUUAGAGAAGUGCGUGUGAGCCGACAGGCGGGCCCACUGCAGAGCUUCGGGGGGUGUGGCGAGGAGAGGCUCCCGCUGAACUGCCACAGAGCCGAAGCCCACAAGAACUUCCUUCUGAAAAAACGGGAUGGACGUUCAUUUCUCUAUCACAUGGAAGAAAUCUGGAAGCGAGCAGUCCCAGCCUGGCGGGCAUUCAGUAAUGGGGGCUGGCUUCCUGCAUCCUGCCGUAGCCCCCAUCCUAGUUCAUGACAAGGGUGUCGCCUAGGCCCAGUGCGGCUCUGGGGCUCCAGCCUCCAAGUCAGGACACAGACGGCUGGGCCCUGUGCACCUUCCUUAUCUGAGAAUCCUUUUCUCUUCACCGGUUCCCUAUGCUCGGCCUGCAGGCCUGCUAUUCAGGGCCUGGGUCCUCUCAGGACCACCGUAGGCCUGAGGGGCCAGGCACUGUCCUAGGGUGAGAUUCCAGGGCCUGGGAGGGCUGCCCCCCCAUCACCCCCCCCCCCCAAGCAGCCGAUGGUUAAAUGGGGGAAGUGGGUGGGGCUUGGCUGAGAGAGAUUUGCACACAAAACCUCAGAGAGAGGAGCUUAUCAACAACCUACUACCUGUCUGGCUUCCAUGCCCUCUUUCCCAGUGACUUGGAGAAGUGACGGCGUUGUCCCCUUCAGCCAGGGCAGAAACAGAGGACAGCCUGGCAGCCGAUGCAGUCCCGUGGCUGAAACGCCCGCGAUGCUGCAGCCUCAGCCUCCCGGAGCUUCCCAGUGCAAACCAGCCUGGCACCAAGGGCUGGGGAGGGCGGAACGCCCUCAGCGGCUCUGUCGGGCCAGUGGAUGUGAACGCCCCCUGCCAUCACCGCUUUCCCCUUCCACGCACCUGCCGCCCCAGCCAACCCACCCUGUGCCUCGGGCUAAGUGUGGCCGCCCCGGUGCCUGAUGCAGUGGCUGUGUCCGCUCCACCUCCAAGCCCGGCCAGUGCUGCUCCCCGCUGGGAGCUCCACCCCGGCAGGUGCACGGCGGCCUCCUGGGCCUCACUGCCCUGGCCCGAGGCAGUGGGCUGCCCGGGAACCCAGGGUCUCCAUGGAGGUGACAGACCUGCCCACGGACACUAGGUCAGUGGCUCACAUGCAAACCCAGUGUCCGAGGGGGUAGGUGGCCAGGGUGUGUGUGUACACGUGUAUGUAUUAUUGUAUUUAAUCUGAUCUUGACCAUUUCUUGCAGCAAUAUUUUGUCAACACCAUGGCAUUUGGCCAUCACCUAUAAUUUGCGUAUGUGCAACAUUUCCCAGGCUGCUGCUGGGGGUCCGUGGGCCGAUCGGUUGAGGAAAUACUGGUGUAGACCGAAUGUUGAGGAGCUCACACUCUGUAAUUUGGCCAACCAGCCCAUCAUCCCUGUCCCUUGCUCUCCCCAAACAAGAGAGCUUUUCAUUGAGAGAGUUCUGAAACGCUUUUUGGGGUUAGCGUGACAGGCCCCAGAAACCAGGCUGGAAGACCCCAGGACUGUGCAAGGGACGUGGGGCGUGGGAUGCGGAGCAGCCUGUCUGGGGCAUGCCCGGGCACAUGUGGCCCCUGUGCCAAUUGUGUGCAUGGGACAGGCCAAUGUCCACUUUGUGUGCAAAGGUCUGUUCUUUCCAGGAUUCGCACGCAGGGAGCGAGGCUGAGCCUGCCCGGUCCAAGGCACUUCUUUGGAGCAACGUCGCAGAGACAUGCGGGCUGGAGGGCAAGGUUCCUGUCUGGUCUCUGAACAAAGAGUUACUUACGGUUGCCCAGCCUUCAUUUGAAAAAGCUGCAUCGUGGCCACAGCCUCAGUUUCUCCCUCUGAAAACGGGGGUUCUGAUAGCUCCUGCCCCAGAGGACGCUGGGAGGAUCCCACAGGCUGACGCGUGCAAAGCCUGGGCAUAGCAGAGCACAGAAAGGGUCAUGGGCUCCGGGUCCCAGUUCCACGGUGGAUGUCCUAGGUGUGUGAGCCCUUGGAGCUCCAGUGGGCUCUUCUGGGACCUUGGAGGCCUUUGAGGGUCGAAUUAUCCAGGCUUGUCCUGGCCAGCAGAGGGGGUGGCCUUCCUCUGCCAUGCCUGCUAGUUGAUGGGCUCCUUGUGACAGCAGUUUUCAAUGGAGGCCGAUUCAUUCCUUCACUCAUUCAUUCGUUUGUUUGUUCACAACAUGCUUUCUUUGGGUUCAGCACGUGUCUGCCCUGGGGCCACCACAGGCACUGUGGCCAUCUUUAGCCUCAUGGGGCUUAGGUCCCAGGGAGGGAGACCAUUAGCCAUGUGCAAAUCGAGGGACAGUGACAGGGGUGGGGACAUCAGCACUUUAGCUCCACUGUCAGAUUGGUCCUGGGAGGGGCAUCGAAGAGACAGCCAGUGAAUCAGUGCCUGGGACACGGUCCGAGCAGAGGGCAG